UUCCGUGAUGAAACCGUCCCAGUCUGAGCAGUGAUGAGAAGGGUAGCUUCUGAGAA
rnacentral:snoRNA from 1 species